UACAACUUUUAGCAACGGAUCUCUUGGCUCUCGCAUCGAUGAAGAACGCAGCGAAAUGCGAUAAGUAAUGUGAAUUGCAGAAUUCAGUGAAUCAUCGAAUCUUUGAACGCACCUUGCGCUCCUUGGUAUUCCGAGGAGCAUGCCUGUUUGAGUGUCAUGGA
rnacentral:rRNA from 1 species